rnacentral:rRNA from 1 species
CCUACGGGUGGCAGCAGUCGGGAAUAUUGCGCAAUGGAGGAAACUCUGACGCAGUGACGCCGCGUGCAGGAAGAAGGUUUUCGGAUUGUAAACUGCUUUUAACAGGAAAGAAAAAAAUGACGGUACCUGUUGAAUAAGCUCCGGCUAACUACGUGCCAGCAGCCGCGGUAAUACGUAGGGAGCGAGCGUUAUCCGGAUUUAUUGGGUGUAAAGGGUGCGUAGACGGAAAUGCAAGUUAGUUGUGAAAUACCUCGGCUUAACUGAGGAACUGCAACUAAAACUAUAUUUCUUGAGUAUCGGAGGGGUUUGUGGAAUUCCUAGUGUAGCGGUGAAAUGCGUAGAUAUUAGGAAGAACACCGGUGGCGAAGGCGACAAACUGGACGAUAACUGACGUUGAGGCACGAAAGUGUGGGGAGCAAACAGGAUUAGAUACCCGAGUA